rnacentral:rRNA from 1 species
AGCGAACGCUGGCGGCAGGCUUAACACAUGCAAGUCGAGCGGGCGUAGCAAUACGUCAGCGGCAGACGGGUGAGUAACGCGUGGGAACAUACCUUUUGGUUCGGAACAACACAGGGAAACUUGUGCUAAUACCGGAUAAGCCCUUACGGGGAAAGAUUUAUCGCCGAAAGAUUGGCCCGCGUCUGAUUAGCUAGUUGGUGAGGUAACGGCUCACCAAGGCGACGAUCAGUAGCNGGUCUGAGAGGAUGAUCAGCCACAUUGGGACUGAGACACGGCCCAAACUCCUACGGGAGGCAGCAGUGGGAAUAUUGGACAAUGGGCGCAAGCCUGAUCCAGCCAUGCCGCGUGAGUGAUGAAGGCCCUAGGGUUGUAAAGCUCUUUUGUGCGGGAAGAUAA